GACAGUACUAACAGAAAAAAACUAUUAAAAUAUACAAAUUAUACUCCUGAAUGGAAUAAGAUUUUCAUAAAGAUAUAAAUUUGUGUCAAAACUUAAAAAUGCAUAAACUUGUAUCUCUUUUUUUUUGGGCAAAAAACUUGUAUCUCUAUUCCAUUAAUAUAGCAAAUGCAUGGUUGACAAAAAAAACAUUUUGUAGAUUAGAGGGUUAAAGUCAAACUUGUCGCUUGUGAAGAGCGUAGAGCUAAACAAUGCAGACCGUCAUUGUUUUUAGUUCUAUCACUUGGACGAUCGAGAAAAUGUUUGAUCACUGUGGAGGUUUCUGAAAUUUUCG
rnacentral:lncRNA from 1 species